CUUAUUUAGGACAGCUUCUACAAAAAAACAUAUUCCGGCAAAAGAAAACAAUGCAACUACCUACACAUGGCUUAUUAAAGGCAAACAACACGAUUGACUUGUUUAGAACCAUUCUUCCUAGCUGCAUGUUUGUUGAUGUUCUUUGGAAGCUGAUUGCUAGGCCCCGAGGAUGCAUCAGAAGCCAUGGAAUCAUCACUCUCUUCAUCACCACCAUCAUCACUAUUGUCGCCAUCAUCGUUCUCAUAGCCAUCAUGAGCCUCUUUUACCUGUGUAUCAUCAUCAUCAUCAUCAACAACAACAGAUGAAUGGUCAUUUCCAUGGAAGGCGUCUUCUAUGUACAUAGUCCACCCUGACUCACAACUGCUGUAUUCCUCCUCUUCAGAGCCUCCAUGGUUCCUCGGAGACUCCAUGGCUUCGAGCAACGGAAAGAGGAAAAGAAAAAACAAGGUCUCAAGAUUUGCAUAUAUGCACACACACACAAAGAUCACUUGCUUUUUCUAAAGUAUCAAGAAAAACCGGAGCCUAUAGGAAGCCUCAUAUAAUUGAAGAGAAGGAGUAAGUUUCACCACAUGGCAACCCUAGCACCAUUGUUUUCACUCAAUUGAAGCACUACCAGACAAAGCUCAUUGCAGAUAUAUAUCAAGAGAAGGAAGGUCAGUGCCUUCUUCAUUAUAAAGUACUCUCUCUUAUAGAAUUAAAAGCCUAUUGUUCUUCUUUUUCAAUAUAAACUAAAUAUACUUUUCUUUAAACAAAUAUUUUUGGUUCCUAACAAACCAUAAUCUAGUCUUAGAGUCAGGACACAUCAAUAUCCACAUAACAAGAAUCAAUCUUCUGAGCUCUGUCAUUAGUGAUAUGUCAUAGGUUAUAUAUCUUCUUAAUUGAUAUGUUAAGUUUUUACUUCUCUGUACUCACUAUCUCUCUCUUCUCUUCUCCCUAUGUAUCACUCUGGCUAUCUUAAAUAAAAAAAAGAUCAGCUUUUGAGGUGGAAAUCAGAAGAGACCCACAUCAACAAACAAGAAGGAAUAAAAGAAGCAUUUACUUAAUUAGGUUAAGAGCUGUUCCUCUUCUCAUUCCUUUAAUACUCUUCUUCCUCCUCCAAUCCUCUCUCAUUGUCUUUAAAAUUGUUGCAGCCUUUUACUUCCUCUCUCAUUGUAUUGAAAAGUGGAGGCCCUCUUGGUGACAGCUUGCAAAUCAAAGGGUGUGAUGAGAGUUCAUAUCACAAAAGGGUUGUUUUGUUUUGACUUUGACUCUCCUUUGAGUAAUGUUAACAAAGAUAUUAAGCUUUGUGUGCUUUAAGACAUUUUUGAGUCUCAUAAGUUAAAUACUUAAAAAGAAAAAAUAGUUCUGAAA